rnacentral:rRNA from 1 species
AACGAACGCUGGCGGCAUGCCUAACACAUGCAAGUCGAACGAGACCUUCGGGUCUAGUGGCGCACGGGUGCGUAACGCGUGGGAACCUGCCUUUAGGUUCGGAAUAACUCCCCGAAAGGGGUGCUCAUACCGGUUAAUGUCUUCGGACCAAAGAUGUAUGGCUUUUGGAUGGGGCCGCGUUGGAUUCGCGGGUUGGUAGGGUAAAAGCCUACCAAGGCGACGAUCCAUAGCUGGUCUGAGAGGAUGAUCAGCCACACUGGGACUGAGACACGGCCCAGACUCCUACGGGAGGCAGCAGUGGGGAAUAUUGGACAAUGGGCGAAAGCCUGAUCCAGCAAUGCCGCGUGAGUGAUGAAGGCCGUAGGGUUGUAAAGCUGUUUUACACGGGAUGAUAAUGACAGUACCGGGAGAAUAAGCUCCGGCUAACUCCGUG